rnacentral:rRNA from 1 species
UACAGAGGUCCCGAGCGUUGUUCGGAUUCACUGGGCGUAAAGGGUGCGUAGGUGGCUUGAAAAGUUUGAUGUGAAAGCUCAGGGCUUAACCCUGAAAUGGCAUUGAAUACUGUCGAGCUGGAGGUUUGGAGGGGGACUGGAAUUCUUGGUGUAGCAGUGAAAUGCGUAGAUAUCAAGAGGAACACCAGUGGCGAAGGCGAGUCCCUGGACAACACCUGACACUGAGGCACGAAAGCUAGGGGAGCAAACAGG